rnacentral:rRNA from 1 species
AGCUCCAAUAGCGUAUAUUAAAGUUGUUGCAGUUAAAAAGCUCGUAGUUGGAUUUUGGGUUUGGUAAAAUCGGUCUGCGUUAAGUAGUACUGACUUGCCUGCCCUUCUUCUCGAGGCCUAUGGGUGCACUUAACCGUGUGUUCAUAGUAUUCGGGACUUUUACCGUGAGAAAAUUAGAGUGUUCAAAGCAGGCUUUUGCUUGAAUAUUGCAGCAUGGAAUAAUGGAAUAGGAUCAUGAUCUUAUUUUGUUGGUUUCUAAGAUCAAGAUAAUGAUUAAUAGGGAUAGUUGGGGGCAUUAAUAUUUAGUUGUCAGAGGUGAAAUUCUUAGAUUUACAAAAGAUUAACUUCUGCGAAAGCAUUUGCCAAGGAUGUUUUCGUUAAUCAAGAACGAAAGUACGCA